GCCCCCAGUCCCCCAGUCUCUGGGAUGCGGUCAGAAGCAGGUGCGGGAGAGCCCAGGGAGUCUGCCCCUCCCACGGUGUCCUGACAGAGAGGCCUGAAGGAUAUGUGCAGCCGGGCCCCCCCACCUGCCCCAACCAGGGUCCCUUGGCCAGGCCCUGCUUUACCCCGUCAUCCGGGGGGGCUAGAAAGGCAGCACAGGCCGUCCCAGGCCUGGGGGGCCAUUGCCCAAGGCCCAGGGAGCGUCUGGCUCUGUUACGCAGGCCAGGUCACCUGUAGGUCUGGGCUCGUGCAGUGCCCCGGGGGGCCCACCUGAGCCCACCCUGCUCCUUUGCAGCUGGAGAGAGGCUCUGUGUCACCCCACAGGGACCCUUGUAGCCCCCACUCCUGCUCGUCCCCACUGGCCUCUCCUGCUGCUCUGCCGCCAGCCCUGCCCCCCCAGGGCCCAUCUGUCUUGCCCACUCUGGGCACAGGCCCUCCUCCCCUACUGGAACCUGGACUCCCUGGUUCCCCACUGCACCCAGGCAUCUGCCAUCCCGGCCUGGCACCUUCCGGGGCUCCUCGCAGGUUCAGGACGGAGUCCCGUUGAGGGAGGCAGGCCGGUUUCAGGGACCCAGAGGGCUCCCGCAGGACCAGCCAGGAGGGCCCUCAGCUUCGCACGGGAUAGAAAGUGAACACAGAGUUUACCCAAGAGCAUGAGUGAGGGACAGAGAGCCCCAGGCGGAGCAUCUGGGAGACUCGGAAAGGACAGGAGGCGGGUGUCUCCCUCACUCGGGUCUGGGGGUUUACAGUGGAAAAGAGUCCAGGGUACGUGUUCCUUCAGGAAGCCGGGGAAGGGUGUGCUGGAAGGCGAGCCACAGGCGUACAUCGGGAGAUGGUCCACAAAUCGCCCACAGCGGUGCGAGCCAAUGCUGGCAUCGGCCCGGUUUCAUCCGGGGCCCGGGCAACAGUGGAGAACGUCUGAGGUUCUCGCCUCCCCGGGAGUGGGACCGUAGCUUCUCUGGGUUGCAAGGGGAACCAGAGAGCUUGAGGAGAGGGAGACUUUCUGAACCCCAGUCCUCCAGCUUCCCGGCCUCACAGUCUCCCUGCAGCUCCACAGACCACCCCCAGCCUCCCUCAGCCCCUUCCAGCCACCAGACCCCCACUCUCUCUAGCCCUCUGCUCCUGCCGACUCUCCCCAACCCCAUGAGGGGCUCACGGACCAACGAGCCCCUGAGCCAGGCCCCCGGACUCACGGAGGGCAGCCAUCUGGGCCCCCAGGGCCGGCAGGGUUCUCCAUCCAGCCUGUGUCAGCAAAUGUCUGUGGACGUGUCUCCAUCUGCAGGAGCGGGGACACAGUCACCUCCCAAAGCUGUAGCCCGGGGCAGCUAGCCCGGAGUGGGCUCAGGGAGCGGCGUGGGACCAGGCAGCUCCAGCCCUGACCAGGCCCCCCCUGGCUCGUGGGCCAGGCAGUGCGGGCGCAAGCAGGCUCUGAGGCUCCGGCCGUGGCGGCCUGCCAGUGGCCGGGAGUCAGGGAGGGCAGGGAGACCCAGUGGGAGCUGGCGGGGUAGGCGGACUGUCCCCCUAGAGCAGAGCCCUAAGGCUUGGGGUCUGCCUGAGGGGCACAGAGGCAGAGGACAAGGCUGUCUCAGGGCAGGUACGGCCUGGAGAGGCCCGUGCUGGGACGACAGUAUGGCCACCAGGGGACGCCAUGGUGCUGGGUCACAGCCCUGUGCUCCCCAGGGCAGAAGGCGCCCCAGUUGCCGGUUGCCUUGUCCUGCCCCCCCAGCUCCUGCCUGCUUUUCCCCGCCCAGAUGCUCAAGGGGGCCGCCCUGCCGCCCUGGCCGGUGGGUAGGGCUCAGGAGCGUCGGGGAUCUCGCUUCUGCACGCCCAGCCCCACCAGAGGGCCUGCGGACCGCUCUGGGCAGGAGCCACCUGCUGCCCCCAGACCCCGCCCCAGACCCCAGACCCAUGGCCCCCCAGGGGCCCGCACACGCGUGUGCAUCUUGCGGGCCUGUGGUGCCGGCCCGUCUGUGUAUCCGCACACACGGAGAGGCACACCCAGAAGGGCCAUCCAGCAGGGAGACGCUUCCCAACCUGCCGGGCACCUGGCUGCUGCCCCCAUCCGCCCUUCCCGCCCCCACCCCUCCGGCCUUGCACAGGCCUCCAGAGCAGGAAAUGAACCAGCUCCUGUUGCCGGAGCACGGCUGGCAGGGACGGCUGAUUUAUUGACGUAUUUUAUUUACAAGGAGCAAGAAAAUGCGGGGCUGGGCCCAGCUGCCCCCAGCAGGCCUGCACAGCGGCACGGGUCCUGGGGACUCGAAGGAGACCUGGCCCAGGGCCCCCUCUGCAGGCCGGCAGGCGGAGGUGGGGAGGGAACUCACUUUCUCCUGGGGAAGGAAAGGAUUUCUGGAAAAUGCUGGUCCCCUGAGCUGGCUCAGGGCCUCCAGCCUAGAGGCAGUGGGCUUCCUGUGUUUUGCCCUGGUGUUCGGUGCCCUGGUACAGGUGGUCUUCUGGGGAUUCCACAACCCCACCCAGGUAGAGGAUGCAGUGCUGGACAUCUAUGACCUGGCAUACGAGCGGGCGGUGCGGAACUUGUCCGGAACCCCGCGGCAGCAGCUGGUGGCCAUUCAGGACACGUUCCUGUGCUGCGGCAAGAGCUCCCCUUUCGGCCUCCUGGGGGACGCGGAGGCCAGUCUGUGUCAGGGACAGCAGGCAGCCGGACAGGUGAGGAGGGGAGGCCCGGACCCUGCACUCUCCCUCCCUAGGCCUCCCCCGGGUUUGUGCCGCCCACUGCAGGGCUCCUGGACUCAGCCCCAUGCUCCCUUCGCUCACUCGGCCCCUCACCCAGCUCCAGCCUGGGGCUCCCCGAGGCCAGGCCUGCCCUCAGAAGCCUCCAGAAGCACAAAGGAAGGUGGAAGACAGACACUGGUCUGGAGGGGGCUAGUCCAGAAGGAGCCAGAAGGACAUUCCAGGGAGGGGACAGGGAGGUCGGUGGCAGGCAGAGGCAGGGAAGGCCCUUCUUCCCCAGGGCCCAGAGAGGGGCCUGGCACCUCCCCCAGCUACCCUUGCAACCCUCCCCCAGCCACCUCCCUCCCGGGCUCCCCUCCCCCGCUGUCCACUGUCCGGGAAACAAAACCACCCCUAUCUCUGGGCGAGAGGCUCCUGGCCGUCCUCCAACAUCAAGACAGGAGGAUACAAAUGGCUCCUGGCCCAGCAAGGGAGGGAGCCCACCCAGCACCACUGGCCCCAGAAGGGACGCAUGUGGGGAGGGGUGCGGCAGGGAGGGCCCAGCACGCCGGGAGGGGGCCUGAGAGGGCAUUCCUCCCAGCAGGAGGCCUCAGGUGCCCAUCUGCAAAGCUGCUGAGGGACUGCUCUGUGCCUUCCAGAAUGGCGGGGUCCCCGCUGUAAAGGCCACAGAGGGUGGGCAUGGGCGCUGGAGCCUCCCUGGGAUGGGCCUGGGUGGGGCAAGGAUGGUGUCCUAGGCGGUGGUCAGGCCCCCAGGCUGCCCCCCUGGAAGAAGUGUGGCCACAUGGGGAGUAGGGGCUGACCAGGGGCCAUUUUCUCACGGGGCAGCCAGGUCAGACUGCAGGGUUGUGGCCCACGGCUCCUGGGACCAUUUCCAGCUGCCCCUGGGGGCCAGAGGUCCCAACCUCCAGGCCAACCGGUCAGUCCCAUGACCCAGGUGUGAGCAGGGCUGGGACUCCAGCUGGGGCAGAGGCCCAGGUGGCAGUAGGGAGGCUGGAGGGCCCAGUCUCUGUCCAGUGACGGGUGGACAGAUGGCAGCCCGGACCGAUGUCAAGCGAGCCUUCUCUUCCUCCCCAUCCCAGCCUUAAGAAGAGCACCCCCCGAACAUCCCAGGGGUCCUGCCCCAAAUGUCACACCUUCCCCCAAUUCACACGCUGCCAGCCAAGCGGUUCAGAGAUGGGGCCGUCACCUCCCUCUCCCUGGAGAGAGAGCCCCUGUGGAGGCCAGGCCCUGGGGAGGCAUGGGAGCCCAGGAUGGAGCAGGAGGCUAGGAGAGCCCAGGAUCCCACGCCCCUCCCCCAGCUCUUUCUCUGCCCUCCACUCACCCUGGACCAGGGAGUGAGGGAGCCCCAGCCUGCCCAGGGGAGCCAGACCCGUGCCCCAGCCCAGGCGGCUCACGGACGCCUAAGAAAGGCACGUGCUUCUGGGCCUGGGGGCAGCAACCUUCCGUCCCCUGGAAGCCGCUCCCUCCCGCGGGUUUUUGCCUGUGUGUGAUGUCCUCCCUCCUGUGUGUGAGCUCUGGGGCGUGGAGCGUACCACCCCAGCACACCCCCCCGCCCUGCUGCACUGCACAUCACCCCAGCACUUGGCCCCAAGUGGGCACUAGAGGUCCACGCCUUGGCGGAGGCCCCUGACCGUGGGUGGGGAGGGGACCGCCAGGACGGUCGUCACAGGAGCUGCCCUUGGCUCAGGACUGCCUGCGGGAGAUCAGGAGCUUCCUGACGAUGCACAGAAACGUCGCCUGCGCCCUGACCGGCACCGGCCUCGCCAUCACAGUAUACGCGAUGCUGCUCAGCUCCUUUCUCUGGUUCGCCAUUCGCUCCGGUGGCAGCUUGGAUCG